CAAGUAGACCGCCUUAUCGCUGGCUUUAGUCAGAGGAAAGUCUGGGCACCAUAGAGCAGAAUAGCGGGUAACGCCCGUCCGCCGUGAGGUGAGGACAAGUGCAACAGAAAGUAUGUACAGUUCGGCUGUAGUGAAACCAGGUAAACUCUAUUCGGUGAAAUGCCAUGUAAACCAACGUUAAGUGCUGCUCGCGCAAGUUGGAGGGUAGGCAGAUAGAACUUUUGAGUAAUUGAAAGUAUAGAUAAAUGAUAAGGAAAAGAUUCGUCUUUUACAGAACCCGGCUUAUAGGUCUACUUUUUUA
rnacentral:RNase_P_RNA from 1 species